rnacentral:pre_miRNA from 1 species
AUUCAGAUCACCUAGGGAUCUUGUUAAAAGGCAGAUUCUGAUUCAGGAGGUGGGGUGGUAAAAUCUGCAUUUCUUUCCAGCUCCCAGGGGAUGGUCCU